GAGCCUUUUUAUCUGCCAAAUUGCGCCCAUCCUUUCUCCUCCCUUCCUAUGUACUCUUUUAACGUUCAUUUUCUCUUUUAUUUUUUGAAAUAUUUCUCAAUAAUUUCGCUCCCUCUUUGGUGCAAUGGCCGCUAAAACGAUCGUGGAGGAAAAACCAUUCUUAUCAGGGAUAGUGGAUGGAAGCACCAAUUUACCUGUCGACAUUUCAUGCUUUGAGUUGAUUAAGCCAAGCUUUGAUGAGACCAACCAGCAUUGUUCUCUUGAUGUCUUGCCUAUCCUAAUUGAGGAGGCUUCAUUUCCAGUAAGAGAAAAAAGCAGCUUAAACACUUCACAUGUCUCGGAUGCCUAUAGCUUUUCUGUGUUGCCUGAGGAAGGAAACAUGAGUCCAAACUGUACACGGUUAACAUUUUUGAGCCUCCUAGAAGUUCCCUUUUCAUCUAAAAACCAGAUGUGUUUGGAUGCGCAAUUGAGUUGCCAGAACUGCAUUGAUUUGAAAGUGGACAGAGAAGAUGCUUAUUCACCUUGCUUUCUGGAUAUAAACAUCGAGAAAGAGACUCCUGACAUAUUUGAAUUCAGUGAUGAAACUGUUGGAAAUUUGAAAAGUGAAGGCGUAGUGACGCAUUUGCAGAAGGUGUUGCAGAGACAAGCAAGCAUAACUGUAGACAAAUCAACCGAGAGGGUUCAUGAUGCAGCUACGAACAGAUGGAGGAGGUAUAAACGAGCCGCGUCAUUUGACUCGAGGAAAAUAGUCCUGCUUUUCUCAAUCUUAUUUGAGCAAACAAAGAUGCGUCUUCUGAAAUGAAUGAAUGUGUACUCAUCUUCUUGAUUGGGUGGAUGAUAUUAAUGGACGUUGGUUGGUCAAGUGUGGGGACAUUGAUUUUGAUUUAUCUGACGCUCACAAACAAUUGAUGGGUUCAACCAUGUCCUCUUAUCUUGUUUUUCUUUAACAACUGCUGCUUUAUGUUAGCUUUCCUCUGUAAAUAUGAUUAACGUGUUCCUGAGCUUUUUUUUGUUGGGUUUGUGUUCGUUGAGGUUUUUCUUUUUAAGAAAAAAUGGUGAUUCGAAUUAA